rnacentral:rRNA from 1 species
CGCCUCUUGAAAAACAUAAGAGGUCCAGCCUGCCCAGUGACUUAUGUUCAACGGCCGCGGUAUCCUAACCGUGCGAAGGUAGCGCAAUCACUUGUUCUUUAAAUAAGGACUAGUAUGAAUGGCAUCACGAGGGUUAUACUGUCUCCUUUUUCUAAUCAGUGAAACUAAUCUUCCCGUGAAGAAGCGGGAAUAAUUUUAUAAGACGAGAAGACCCUAUGGAGCUUUAAACUAAACAACAAGUAUCUACUUAUUCUAAAUUCAAGAAAAACCAAAAUUAUUCAGAUAUUAUGAUUGCUAGUUUUAGGUUGGGGUGACCAUGGAGAACAAUACAACCCCCAUGUCGAAAUGAUUUUAAAAAUCUAAGCUGCGAGUAACAACUCCAAGCAUCAACACCUUGACGUCAAUUGACCCAAUUUUUGAUCAACGAACCAAGUUACCCUAGGGAUAACAGCGCAAUCCACUUCAAGAGCUCAUAUCGACAAGUGGGUUUACGACCUCGAUGUUGGAUCAGGAUAUCCUAGUGGUGCAGCCGCUACUAAAGGUUCGUUUGUUCAACGAUUAAAAUCCU